rnacentral:rRNA from 1 species
AUGCACGCUGGCGGCGUGCCUAAUACAUGCAAGUCGAGCGAACAGACGAGGAGCUUGCUCCUCUGACGUUAGCGGCGGACGGGUGAGUAACACGUGGAUAACCUACCUAUAAGACUGGGAUAACUUCGGGAAACCGGAGCUAAUACCGGAUAAUAUAUUGAACCGCAUGGUUCAAUAGUGAAAGACGGUUUUGCUGUCACUUAUAGAUGGAUCCGCGCCGCAUUAGCUAGUUGGUAAGGUAACGGCUUACCAAGGCAACGAUGCGUAGCCGACCUGAGAGGGUGAUCGGCCACACUGGAACUGAGACACGGUCCAGACUCCUACGGGAGGCAGCAGUAGGGAAUCUUCUGCAAUGGGCGAAAGCCUGACGGAGCAACGCCGCGUGAGUGAUGAAGGUCUUCGGAUCGUAAAACUCUGUUAUUAGGGAAGAACAAAUGUGUAAGUAACUAUGCACGUCUUGACGGUACCUAAUCAGAAAGCCACGGCUAACUACGUG